rnacentral:rRNA from 1 species
GAUGAACGCUGGCGGCGUGCCUAAUACAUGCAAGUCGAGCGAACAGAUGAGGAGCUUGCUCCUCUGACGUUAGCGGCGGACGGGUGUGUAACACGUGGAUAACCUACCUAUAAGACUGGGAUAACUUCGGGAAACCGGAGCUAAUACCGGAUAAUAUAUUGAACCGCAUGGUUCAAUAGUGAAAGACGGUUUUGCUGUCACUUAUAGAUGGAUCCGCGCCGCAUUAGCUAGUUGGUAAGGUAACGGCUUACCAAGGCAACGAUGCGUAGCCGACCUGAGAGGGUGAUCGGCCACACUGGAACUGAGACACGGUCCAGACUCCUACGGGAGGCAGCAGUAGGGAAUCUUCCGCAAAGGGCGAAAGCCUGACGGAGCAACGCCGCGUGAGUGAUGAAGGUCUUCGGAUCGUAAAACUCUGUUAUUAGGGAAGAACAAAUGUGUAAGUAACUAUGCACGUCUUGACGGUACCUAAUCAGAAAGCCACGGCUAACUACGUG